rnacentral:lncRNA from 1 species
GCUAAACUUACGAGUACAAGAAUAAAGAGGGGAAUGAACUACGCAUAACAGACGUGAACUACGGUUGAUCAAGAGAAUGAUCCUGAACACGUACCUACGUCAGACAUAACCCCACCGUGUCCUCAAUCGGAGAAAGAACUCACGAAAGAGACAGUCACGGUUACGCACACAGUGGGCAUGUUUUAAUUAAGUUAACUUCAAGUUAUCUAGAACCAGUGUUAAACAAAGU